UAGCUCAAUGGUAGAGCUCCUGCUUCAUAUGCGGGAAGACCUGGGUACGAUUCCCCG
rnacentral:tRNA from 1 species